AACCUGCUUGGGUCCCUUUCCACACCGCGGAAGCUUUGUUCUUUUGCUCUUUGCAAUAAAUCUUGCUGCUGCUCACUCUUUGGGUCCACACUGCCUUUAUGAGCUGUAACACCGCGAAGGUCCACAGCUUCACUCCUGAGCCAGCGAGACCACGAACCCCACCAGAAGGAAGAAUCUGUGAACACAUCCGAACAUCAGAAGGAACAAACUCUAGACAUGCCGCCUUUAAGAACUGCAACACUCACUGCGAGUGUCCGCGGCUUCAUUCUUGAAGUCAGUGAGACGAAGAACCCACCAAUUCCAGACACAUUUUGGCGACCUAGAUGGGACAAUCGCCUAUCACCGAGUGGUGAGACCAUCGCCUAUAGCUGAGCGGCGAGACAAUCACCUAUCGCCAAGCAAUUACCUACCACUUCCAGGGUCAGAGCCCUUCACUUCAUAUUCAUGAGGAGACGGGGAAUUGGAAUAUACCCGCAGCCGACAAUCUCAGUGUGAAAUACUGGUUUACUGUUUGGAGAACAAUAGACAAUGAUCAACAACUGAAGAGCUGA
rnacentral:lncRNA from 1 species